rnacentral:rRNA from 1 species
CCUACGGGAGGCUGCAGUAGGGAAUCUUCCACAAUGGGCGAAAGCCUGAUGGAGCAACGCCGCGUGGGUGAAGAAGGUCUUCGGAUCGUAAAACCCUGUUGUUAGAGAAGAAAGUGCGUGAGAGUAACUGUUCACGUUUCGACGGCAUCUAACCAGAAAGCCACGGCUAACUACGUGCCAGCAGCCGCGGUAAUACGUAGGUGGCAAGCGUUAUCCGGAUUUAUUGGGCGUAAAGGGAACGCAGGCGGUCUUUUAAGUCUGAUGUGAAAGCCUUCGGCUUAACCGGAGUAGUGCAUUGGAAACUGGGGAACUUGAGUGCAGAAGAGGAGAGUGGAACUCCAUGUGUAGCGGUGAAAUGCGUAGAUAUAUGGAAGAACACCAGUGGCGAAAGCGGCUCGCUGGACUGUAACUGACGCUGAGGUUCGAAAGCGUGGGUAGCAAACAGGAUUAGAUACCCGUGUAGUC